rnacentral:lncRNA from 1 species
GUCUCUGUGGUGACUACUCAACUCUGCCGUUGAAAUGCAAAAGCAGACAUGAGUGAUAUGUACACAAAUGCUCAUGGCCGUGUUCCAACAAAAGUUUAUUUAUGGACACUGAAGUUUGAUUUCAUAUUUCAAGUAUCACAAACUGUUAUUUUUUUAUUAAAAAACAUUUUUUAAAUGUAAAAACCAUUCUCAGUACACAGGUUGUUCAAGUUCAGGUAGAGGGCUGGAUUUUUAGUUUGCUGAGCCCUGAUCUAUAGGAUUCCAGAUCGUCAGCUUUCAAAUAAUACCCCUUGGUCUAUAUGCUGCAGAGAGUUAUUGUGAAAAUCCAGUGAGCUGGGAAGUCAUUCAAGCCAAGCUUACAUUUUCAGAUGAGGAUACCAAGUCCCAGAGUGAGAACAUGACUUGCUCAAAGUAAUAUAGCUCAUUACUGGUUAGGACUCAAACAGGCCUGCUGAAUUCAAGCAGGGGCUCUACCCUUUUCUAUGUGUAGUUGAUUUGAAAGGAGAGCUAGAAACCAAGCAACAUGGCAUGUGCCUGUAAUCCUAGUUAUUUUGGAGGCUGAGGCAGGAAGAUCAUAAAUUCAGGCCCAACCUGGGCAAUAUCAUGAGACUCUGUCUCAAAAUAAAAAGGGCUGGGGAUAUAGCUCAGUGGAAGAGAGCCUUGGUUCUAUGCCAGUACUGCAAAAACAAAAACAAAGCAAAAAGAGAAGAGCCUAGAGCCUUGUGUACCAUGCCCCCAAGGAAAAGAAGGAAAAGAAAAUUAAAAAGGCAAAUUAACUUUCUUUUGGAUACAUUAAAAAUGGUUAGUUAGGGACAUUUUAAUGUCAAAACUGCUUUGUGCAAGCCAGAAUAUAGUCAGCAGCCUGUCCUGGAAAAAAAUGUAUUGUGGAAAGCAAGACCCAGGGCAUCUCAACACCUGAAAUAAGUCAUUAAAGAUUUUUUAAGUUGUAGAUGACACAAUACCUUUAUUUAUUUAUUUUUAUGUGGUGCUAAGGAUCAAACUCAGUGCCUCACUCGUGCAAGGCAAGUGCUCUGCCACUGAGCCACAACCCUAGCCCUUAAAGCCCUUUUUUACUUAGCAAAAUGAACCUUUGAUUAGAUGUUAUUCUUACAAACAAUUAGUUUGGCUAGAAAUUAUUUAAUUUAUACCUGUUGGUUUUUAUUGAAAUCUCAGAGACUAGGAGUAUAGUUCAGUGAUAGAGCAUUUGCCUAGCAGGUGGGAGGCUCUAAGUUCUAUCCCCAGCACUUCCAAAAAACCAAAAACAAGCCAAAAAAGCAAACUCCUGCUGGACAUGAUGGUGUGUUCCUGUAAUCCCAGCAGCUCAAGAUGCUGAGGCAGGAGGAUCCCAAGUUCAAAGGUAGCCCUAGGAAUUUAGUAAGGCCUGAAGCAACUUGUGAUACCCUGUCUCAAAAAA